AACGAACGCUGGCGGCAUGCCUAACACAUGCAAGUCGAACGAGACCUUCGGGUCUAGUGGCGCACGGGUGCGUAACGCGUGGGAAUCUGCCCUUGGGUUCGGAAUAACAGUGAGAAAUUACUGCUAAUACCGGAUGAUGUCUUCGGACCAAAGAUUUAUCGCUCGGGGAUGAGCCCGCGUAGGAUUAGCUAGUUGGUGGGGUAAUGGCCGACCAAGGCGACGAUCCUUAGCUGGUCUGAGAGGAUGAUCAGCCACACUGGGACUGAGCCACGGCCCAGACUCCUGCGAGAGGCAGCAGUGGGGAAUAUUGGACAAUGGGCGCAAGCCUGAUCCAGCAAUGCCGCGUGAGUGAUGAAGGCCUUAGGGUUGAAAAGCUCUUUUACCCGGGAUGAUAAGGACAGUACCGGGAGAAUAAGCUCCGGCUAACCCGUG
rnacentral:rRNA from 1 species